GCCACUGUGAUAGCUCAGUGGUUAGAGCAUCGAACGUGUUAUUCGAAGGUCGUAGGUUCGACUCCUGCUCACGGCU
rnacentral:tRNA from 1 species